GCGGGUGUACGCAACUGGCGAUAGGCGCAGAGUUUUCUGCCGCUGACGUGGAAACCGGCAGACUGCAAGGUCUGUGAACCACCGGGGAGCGUACCGCCCAGAGCCGCAGCGACUGCAGCCUGCAAGCGUUUCAGCCGUUCGCCUGGGCAGCCCUU
rnacentral:ncRNA from 15 species